rnacentral:rRNA from 1 species
AAGUCGAACGAAGCACUUAUCUUUGAUUCUUCGGAUGAAGAGGUUUGUGACUGAGUGGCGGACGGGUGAGUAACGCGUGGGUAACCUGCCUCAUACAGGGGAAUAACAGUUAGAAAUGACUGCUAAUACCGCAUAAGACCACGGAGCCGCAUGGCUCCGUGGGAAAAACUCCGGUGGUAUGAGAUGGACCCGCGUCUGAUUAGGUAGUUGGUGGGGUAACGGCCUACCAAGCCAACGAUCAGUAGCCGACCUGAGAGGGUGACCGGCCACAUUGGGACUGAGACACGGCCCAAACUCCUACGGGAGGCAGCAGUGGGGAAUAUUGCACAAUGGGGGAAACCCUGAUGCAGCGACGCCGCGUGAGCGAAGAAGUAUUUCGGUAUGUAAAGCUCUAUCAGCAGGGAAGAAAAUGACGGUACCUGACUAAGAAGCACCGGCUAAAUACGUGCCAGCAGCCGCGGUAAUACGUAUGGUGCAAGCGUUAUCCGGAUUUACUGGGUGUAAAGGGAGCGUAGACGGCUGUGUAAGUCUGAAGUGAAAGCCCGGGGCUCAACCCCGGGACUGCUUUAGAAACUAUGCAGCUAGAGUGUCGGAGAGGUAAGUGGAAUUCCCAGUGUAGCGGUGAAAUGCGUAGAUAUUGGGAGGAACACCAGUGGCGAAGGCGGCUUACUGGACGAUGACUGACGUUGAGGCUCGAAAGCGUGGGGAGCAAACAGGAUUAGAUACCCUGGUAGUCCAC